GGGCUUCUUAAAGUGGCACCGGGCCACAGACAGCUGCUUAUAAAUAGGCAUGUGCCAUUUAGAAGGUCGCACAGCGAACCUCGAAACAUGCCAGAACCUUAACGAGAAACACUGAAAUGCAGAAGAAAUCAGAAGGAACCGCGCUCCCAACACGCACGGCCCCGCCACGCAGGAGCAUCCUAUGGGGCAGGGAGCAGCCAAUGCUCGUGGGGCUGCUCACAGGGAAGUGAACGCUGCCUUUCAUAAAAGCUGACUCCUCUACCCCAAAUAAAAAACAUUCCCUGCCUUGAAGAACAACAUUUUUUUAAUUAUUAUUUCAAAGUACCCUGUUCAGCAGCAGAGCAUACAAAUACUCAUAGCUACGCAAAUAGCAACUCUUUAUUUGCUUUGUUUGCUCAGCUAAUAUUGACUUUCCAGCCUAACACUGCUGCUAUUGAGUUUGGCUAUUCACAGUACUGUUUGACUAGCAUUAGAACAGCGCGGCGAUAACAGCAUGUGCAACCGAAAAAGCAAUCCAUCGCCCCUCCGUGGGACAGUGCCAUUAUGACAGAGGGGGAAAAAAAACCGUCUGCUUAUUCAGUCAAGUACAACUGUUGAAUGCAACGCUGGCAAUGACACUCCUGGCUAGUGCAAACAACCCAAGGUUACAGCGUUAGUGUGUACUCGCGCAAAGCAAACACUACAGAGCGGUUCCGUUGCUGCCCGUCGCCUUGGGCAGGACCCAGGGGUUCGUUCCCUGCCUGGGGUCAGUGUGUGCUGCCCUGUGCCAAGGCUCCUCCCAGCCGUGUGCGUGCUGUGGAGUGGAUGGGCAGACACGGAUGGAUGGAUGGGACCCCUCUGUGGGGGGAAGCAGGGCGAGAGCGCUGCGGAAGGGACGAGGUGGUUGUAGAGAGAUGCACAUGGAAAGCAUCCCCCGGCUUCCAGUUCCAGCCUCCCACCUCAGCCGUGCAGCCGCUCCAGAACAACAUCCAUCCCCAUCGUUCCUCUUGCUUUCAAUCCACAAUCCAGAUUUGCCCGGAGACCUAUCACCUGCAUAAACACGAUGGGGGCAGGGGGCAAGGUUCAAGAGUUGAGACCCGCGCCGCGUCGGCCAAACCUGUAUUUUGCUCCUUCUAAUUAUACCUGGCCAUAUUAGCAGAUAAUAGCUGUACAUUUAAGCAAAUUAUCUCCAAUAAAAAG
ensembl:lncRNA